GGGUUGUGAGGUUAAGCGACUAAGCGUACACGGUGGAUGCCCUGGCAGUCAGAGGCGAUGAAGGGCGUGCUAAUCUGCGAUAAGCGCCGGUAAGGUGAUAUGAACCGUUAUAACCGGCGAUACCCGAAUGGGGAAACCCAGUGUGAUUCGUCACACUAUCAUUAACUGAAUCCAUAGGUUAAUGAGGCGAACCGGGGGAACUGAAACAUCUAAGUACCCCGAGGAAAAGAAAUCAACCGAGAUUCCCCCAGUAGCGGCGAGCGAACGGGGAGGAGCCCAGAGCCUGAAUCAGCAUGUGUGUUAGUGGAAGCGUCUGGAAAGGCGCGCGAUACAGGGUGACAGCCCCGUACACAAAAGCGCAUGUGCUGUGAGCUCGAUGAGUAGGGCGGGACACGUGGUAUCCUGUCUGAAUAUGGGGGGACCAUCCUCCAAGGCUAAAUACUCCUGACUGACCGAUAGUGAACCAGUACCGUGAGGGAAAGGCGAAAAGAACCCCGGCGAGGGGAGUGAAAAAGAACCUGAAACCGUGUACGUACAAGCAGUGGGAGCCCCACCACUAAGCCAGUGGUGAACUCCACAUACGCAUCCUUUGCUGAGGAUACGGUUAACGGAGCGAAAGCGACGUUCAACCGCAAAAGAAGCAGAGGGGGCUUAGUGGUGGGGUGACUGCGUACCUUUUGUAUAAUGGGUCAGCGACUUAUAUUCUGUAGCAAGGUUAACCGAAUAGGGGAGCCGGAGGGAAACCGAGUCUUAAUUGGGCGUUAAGUUGCAGGGUAUAGACCCGAAACCCGGUGAUCUAGCCAUGGGCAGGUUGAAGGUUGGGUAACACUAACUGGAGGACCGAACCGACUAAUGUUGAAAAAUUAGCGGAUGACCUGUGGCUGGGGGUGAAAGGCCAAUCAAACCGGGAGAUAGCUGGUUCUCCCCGAAAGCUAUUUAGGUAGCGCCUCGUGAAUUCAUCUCCGGGGGUAGAGCACUGUUUCGGCUAGGGGGCCAUCCCGGCUUACCAACCCGAUGCAAACUGCGAAUACCGGAGAAUGUUAUCACGGGAGACACACGGCGGGUGCUAACGUCCGUCGUGAAGAGGGAAACAACCCAGACCGCCAGCUAAGGUCCCAAAGUCAUGGUUAAGUGGGAAACGAUGUGGGAAGGCCCAGACAGCCAGGAUGUUGGCUUAGAAGCAGCCAUCAUUUAAAGAAAGCGUAAUAGCUCACUGGUCGAGUCGGCCUGCGCGGAAGAUGUAACGGGGCUAAACCAUGCACCGAAGCUGCGGCAGCGAACGUAUCACUUAAAGCGAUUCAGCGGGUUACGAUUGACGGAGCGAAGCGACGUCAAAGCGUAUACAAAGUCGAGUCGGUUUAAGGAUACGUUCGUUGGGUAGGGGAGCGUUCUGUAAGCCUGUGAAGGUGGCCUGUGAGGGUUGCUGGAGGUAUCAGAAGUGCGAAUGCUGACAUAAGUAACGAUAAAGCGGGUGAAAAGCCCGCUCGCCGGAAGACCAAGGGUUCCUGUCCAACGUUAAUCGGGGCAGGGUGAGUCGACCCCUAAGGCGAGGCCGAAAGGCGUAGUCGAUGGGAAACGGGUUAAUAUUCCCGUACUUGGUGUUACUGCGAAGGGGGGACGGAGAAGGCUAUGUUGGCCGGGCGACGGUUGUCCCGGUUUAAGCGUGUAGGUGUGUGUUCCAGGUAAAUCCGGUUCACUUUAACACUGAGGCGUGAUGACGAGGCACUACGGUGCUGAAGCAACAAAUGCCCUGCUUCCAGGAAAAGCCUCUAAGCAUCAGGUAACAUCAAAUCGUACCCCAAACCGACACAGGUGGUCAGGUAGAGAAUACCAAGGCGCUUGAGAGAACUCGGGUGAAGGAACUAGGCAAAAUGGUGCCGUAACUUCGGGAGAAGGCACGCUGACACGUAGGUGAAGUGAUUUACUCAUGGAGCUGAAGUCAGUCGAAGAUACCAGCUGGCUGCAACUGUUUAUUAAAAACACAGCACUGUGCAAACACGAAAGUGGACGUAUACGGUGUGACGCCUGCCCGGUGCCGGAAGGUUAAUUGAUGGGGUCAGCGCAAGCGAAGCUCCUGAUCGAAGCCCCGGUAAACGGCGGCCGUAACUAUAACGGUCCUAAGGUAGCGAAAUUCCUUGUCGGGUAAGUUCCGACCUGCACGAAUGGCGUAAUGAUGGCCAGGCUGUCUCCACCCGAGACUCAGUGAAAUUGAACUCGCUGUGAAGAUGCAGUGUACCCGCGGCAAGACGGAAAGACCCCGUGAACCUUUACUAUAGCUUGACACUGAACAUUGAGCCUUGAUGUGUAGGAUAGGUGGGAGGCUUUGAAGUGUGGACGCCAGUCUGCAUGGAGCCGACCUUGAAAUACCACCCUUUAAUGUUUGAUGUUCUAACGUGGACCCGUAAUCCGGGUUGCGGACAGUGUCUGGUGGGUAGUUUGACUGGGGCGGUCUCCUCCUAAAGAGUAACGGAGGAGCACGAAGGUUGGCUAAUCCUGGUCGGACAUCAGGAGGUUAGUGCAAUGGCAUAAGCCAGCUUGACUGCGAGCGUGACGGCGCGAGCAGGUGCGAAAGCAGGUCAUAGUGAUCCGGUGGUUCUGAAUGGAAGGGCCAUCGCUCAACGGAUAAAAGGUACUCCGGGGAUAACAGGCUGAUACCGCCCAAGAGUUCAUAUCGACGGCGGUGUUUGGCACCUCGAUGUCGGCUCAUCACAUCCUGGGGCUGAAGUAGGUCCCAAGGGUAUGGCUGUUCGCCAUUUAAAGUGGUACGCGAGCUGGGUUUAGAACGUCGUGAGACAGUUCGGUCCCUAUCUGCCGUGGGCGCUGGAGAACUGAGGGGGGCUGCUCCUAGUACGAGAGGACCGGAGUGGACGCAUCACUGGUGUUCGGGUUGUCAUGCCAAUGGCACUGCCCGGUAGCUAAAUGCGGAAGAGAUAAGUGCUGAAAGCAUCUAAGCACGAAACUUGCCCCGAGAUGAGUUCUCCCUGAGACUUUAGGUCUCCUGAAGGAACGUUGAAGACGACGACGUUGAUAGGCCGGGUGUGUAAGCGCAGCGAUGCGUUGAGCUAACCGGUACUAAUGAACCGUGAGGCUUAACCUUACAACGCCGAAG
rnacentral:rRNA from 2 species